CGAAGGUGGCAAGCGUUGUUCGGAUUCACUGGGCGUACAGGGUGUGUAGGCGGUUUGGUAAGCCUUCUGUUAAAGCUUCGGGCCCAACCCGGAAAGCGCAGAGGGUACUGCCAGGCUAGAGGGCGGGAGAGGAGCGCGGAAUUCCCGGUGUAGCGGUGAAAUGCGUAGAGAUCGGGAGGAAGGCCGGUGGCGAAGGCGGCGCUCUGGAACGUACCUGACGCUGAGACACGAAAGCGUGGGGAGCAAACAGGAUUAGAUACCCUGGUAGUCCACGCCCUAAACUAUGGAUACUAAGUGUCGGCGGGUUACCCCCGGUGCCGCAGCUAACGCAUUAAGUAUCCCGCCUGGGAAGUACGGCCGCAAGGUUG
rnacentral:rRNA from 1 species